UCGCUUCAGUGAUUUCCAAUGCCUUUUUCCUCUCCACAAUGUAAUGCCUCUUCCUCUUCCCGAAACACUCUCUUUCUCACACACACUCUCUUCUUCUUGCUAUUCCUUCCUCGUCAUGGAGACGCGAGUGUUGUCUGGCGUUGGAACCUUGUCCUCCCUCCCUCACCUCCACAAACCGCCGCGAGAGGUCGGUGCCGGACCCUCCCUCGUCGCCCCUCCCUCGUUCCCCUGUCUCCAUAACCAACCAACCAUACAUUAACACCAACACUGAACCUCGCUCGCUCGCUCUCUUCACAAUUUCGAGAUCUGAAAUCGAAACUGAAACCGAAACCGAAGAGAGAGAAAAAAAAAUGAGGGAGCCAUCGUCGGUGGGAUUCGAAGGCAACGACGCUGUUCCGCCGCAAGCUCUCCUCCAGAGACUGAAAGACUACGAUCAAGAACAUGCUUUCGCCCUCUAGUACGAGCUCUCUUACGAGGAACGCGAGUAUCUCGUCCAGGACAUUGAGAGUUUAGAUCUUUCAAGAAUUGACCGAAUUAUUCGGUGCUCGCUGCGAUCUCAAGGACUGCCGAUGGCGGCCAUUGAGCCUGUGUCGGAGAGCAGUGUGUCGACGGUGGUGGAGAGAAGUUAAGAGGAUCGAGAGAGAUGAUGGAAAAUGGGAUUGAAGGCCAUUUCUGAUGGCAAAUUAGCUGUGUUGCUUUUAUCUGGUGGCCAGGUACAUAGAACCAGAUGGACUGGAGAUGCUUCUUCAAGCCCAAAACUCCCGUCCAAACUCCACAAAAAACAAGAUUCAAGAUAUCAUCAAUUGAAAUUACGGAUGCUAUCAAAGCUGUGGAUUGGAUGAACCUAUUCAGCCAGAGCCUGAGGUAUUUGUUCCUUUAGCUUAAUUCCUUGUUAGUUGAUCCUGAUUUGGCUUUAGAAGAAUUGAUUUUCACCUAGUGACUGAUGACUUGUCGAUGUAUUUGAUAUUUGAUUACAUUCAAAAGUUGUUUUGUUCCCUAGAAUGGCAUCUAUAUUUUUAUAACUACAUAUUUGUAUGUAGCUAUUAGA